AUCAGUGUGGUGUUGUGGUUUGAGCACUAGGCUAUGAUUCUGGAGGCCAGGGUUCGAAUCCUGGCUCAGCCA